rnacentral:rRNA from 1 species
CCUACGGGAGACAGCAGUGAGGAAUAUUGGUCAAUGGACGAGAGUCUGAACCAGCCAAGUAGCGUGAAGGAUGACUGCCCUAUGGGUUGUAAACUUCUUUUAUAUGGGAAUAAAAUGUUCCACGUGUGGGAUGUUGUAUGUACCAUAUGAAUAAGGAUCGGCUAACUCCGUGCCAGCAGCCGCGGGAAUACGGAGGAUCCGAGCGUUAUCCGGAUUUAUUGGGUUUAAAGGGAGCGUAGGUGGAUUGUUAAGUCAGUUGUGAAAGUUUGCGGCUCAACCGUAAAAUUGCAGUUGAAACUGGCAGUCUUGAGUACAGUAGAGGUGGGCGGAAUUCGUGGUGUAGCGGUGAAAUGCUUAGAUAUCACGAAGAACUCCGAUUGCGAAGGCAGCUCACUGGACUGCAACUGACACUGAGGCUCGAAAGUGUGGGUAUCAAACAGGAUUAGAUACCCGAGUAGUC